rnacentral:tRNA from 1 species
AAUUAUUUAGCUUAAAAAGUGUAUGUCUUGAAAACAUAAGAAAGAGGUUGUACCUUUAAUAAUUU